AGAGUUUGAUCCUGGCUCAGGAUGAACGCUAGCGGCAGGCCUAACACAUGCAAGUCGAACGGUAACAGAUCUAGCUUGCUAGAUGCUGACGAGUGGCGCACGGGUGCGUAACGCGUAUACAAUCUACCUCUAACUGAGGGAUAGCCCAGAGAAAUUUGGAUUAAUACCUCAUAGUAUUAUAUUAAGGCAUCUUUUUAUAAUUAAAACUCCGGUGGUUAGAGAUGAGUAUGCGUCCUAUUAGCUAGUUGGUAAGGUAACUGCUUACCAAGGCUACGAUAGGUAGGGGGCCUGAAAGGGUGAUCCCCCACACUGGUACUGAGACACGGACCAGACUCCUACGGGAGGCAGCAGUGGGGAAUAUUGGACAAUGGGGGCAACCCUGAUCCAGCAAUGCCGCGUGUGUGAUGAAGGCCUUAGGGUUGUAAAGCACUUUCACUGGUGAAGAUGAUGACGGUAACCAGAGAAGAAGCCCCGGCUAACUUCGUGCCAGCAGCCGCGGU
rnacentral:rRNA from 1 species